rnacentral:rRNA from 1 species
ACGAUACCGUAGUUUGAUCAUGGCUCAGGAUAGAACGCUUAGCGGCAGGCUUAAUACAUGCAAGUCGAAGGGGGUAGCAAUACAACCGGCGCGACGGGUGAGUAACACGUACACAACAUACCAUAUACUGAGGUAUAGCGUUACGGGAACUGAAAGUAAUCCCUCAUAGUAUUGUGAAAGGGCAUCUUUUUACAAUUAAAGUUUCGACGGUAUAUGAUUGGUGUGCGUUUGAUUAGCUAGUUGGUAGGGUAACGGCCUACCAAGGCAACGAUCAAUAGCUGGCGUGAGAGCGCGACCAGCCACACUGGAACUGAGACACGGUCCAGACUCCUACGGGAGGCAGCAGUAGGGAAUAUUGGACAAUGGGCGAAAGCCUGAUCCAGCCAUGCCGCGUGAUAGAUGAAGGCCCUCUGGGUUGUAAAUAUCUUUAUCUGGGAAGAAACACUUCUAUUCUUAGAAGCUUGACGGUACCAGAGGAAUAAGCACCGGCUAACUCCGUG